GACGAACGCUGGCGGCGCGCUUAACACAUGCAAGUCGAGCGAAGCGGCGGACGGGUGAGUAACACGUGAGUAACCUGCCUUAGACAUUGGGAUAGCCUCGGGAAACCGGGAUUAAUACCAAAUGGUCUAAGAUGGACUCGCGUCCCAUUAGCUAGUUGGUGGGUAACGGCCCACCACGGCGACUAUGGGUAGCCGGCAUGUGAGGGUGAGCGGCCACAUUGGAACGAGGAAACAGUCCAAACUCUACUGGAGGCAUCAGUGGGGAAUAUUGCACAAUGGAGGGAACUAUGAUGCAGCGAGGCCGCGUGAACGAAGAAGGCUUUCGAGUCGUAAAGUUCUUUUAUAUGGGAAGCGGUACCAUAAGAAAAAGCCCCGGCUAACUACGUGCCAGCAGCCGCGGUAAUUC
rnacentral:rRNA from 1 species